rnacentral:rRNA from 1 species
GACGAACGCUGGCGGCGUGCUUAACACAUGCAAGUCGAACGGAAAGGCCCUGCUUUUGUGGGGUGCUCGAGUGGCGAACGGGUGAGUAACACGUGAGUAACCUGCCCUUGACUUUGGGAUAACUUCAGGAAACUGGGGCUAAUACCGGAUAGGAGCUCCUGCUGCAUGGUGGGGGUUGGAAAGUUUCGGCGGUUGGGGAUGGACUCGCGGCUUAUCAGCUUGUUUGUGGGGUAGUGGCUUACCAAGGCUUUGACGGGUAGCCGGCCUGAGAGGGUGACCGGCCACAUUUGGACUGGAAUACGGCCCAGACUCCUACUGGAGGCAGCAGUGGGGAAUAUUGCACAAUGGGCGGAAGCCUGAUGCAGCAACGCCGCGUGCGGGAUGACGGCCUUCGGGUUGUAAUCCGCUUUCGCCUGUGACGAAGCGUGAGUGACGGUAAUGGGUAAAGAAGCUCCGGCUAACUACGUG